UACCUUAAGACAAAAAUAAUUUAAGGCAAGCCCUGCCCAGUGAAAUCUUCAACGGCCGCGGUAUCCUAACCGUGCAAAGGUAGCAUAAUAACUUGCCUAUUAAUUAUAGGAUAGAAUGAAAGGGUAAACGAAAUAGGAGCUGUCUCUAUUAGCCCAAUGAAAAUUAUUUUUUAACUGAAGAAAGUUAAAUUCAACUGAAGGACAAGAAGACCCUAUAGAGCUUAAUUUAACUUACUAAGUAAGUAAAAAUUAAAUUCGGUUGGGGCGACCGAUGCUCUACAAAUCAUCACCCACAAAAAGAAAUAUACAUCUCAAAAAAGACCCUGACCCAGAUCAAAAAAACAAGCUACCUUAGGGAUAACAGGCUAAUCUCAUUAAUGAGUCCCCAUCUAUAAUGUUGGUUGGCACCUCGAUGUUGGCUUAGGGAAUCAAAAGGGCGCAGAAGCUUUUUAAGACGGUUUGUUCAACCAUUAAACCCCUA
rnacentral:rRNA from 1 species